rnacentral:rRNA from 1 species
GACGAACGCUGGCGGCGUGCUUAACACAUGCAAGUCGAGCGGCAGCGCGGGGGCAACCCUGGCGGCGAGCGGCGAACGGGUGAGUAAUACAUCGGAACGUGUCCUUGAGUGGGGGAUAGCUCGGCGAAAGCCGGAUUAAUACCGCAUAAGCUCUGAGGAGGAAAGCGGGGGAUUCGCAAGGACCUCGCGCUGUUGGAGCGGCCGAUGUCGGAUUAGCUAGUUGGUGGGGUAAAGGCCCACCAAGGCGACGAUCCGUAGCUGGUCUGAGAGGAUGAUCAGCCACACUGGAACUGAGACACGGUCCAGACUCCUACGGGAGGCAGCAGUGGGGAAUAUUGCACAAUGGGCGAAAGCCUGAUGCAGCGACGCCGCGUGAGGGAUGACGGCCU